GAUGAACGCUGGCGGCGUGCCUAAUACAUGCAAGUCGAGCGAACAGACGAGGAGCUUGCUCCUCUGACGUUAGCGGCGGACGGGUGAGUAACACGUGGAUAACCUACCUAUAAGACUGGGAUAACUUCGGGAAACCGGAGCUAAUACCGGAUAAUAUAUUGAACCGCAUGGUUCAAUAGUGAAAGACGGUUUUGCUGUCACUUAUAGAUGGAUCCGCGCCGCAUUAGCUAGUUGGUAAGGUAAUGGCUUACCAAGGCAACGAUGCGUAGCCGACCUGAGAGGGUGAUCGGCCACACUGGAACUGAGACACGGUCCAGACUCCUACGGGAGGCAGCAGUAGGGAAUCUUCCGCAAUGGGCGAAAGCCUGACGGAGCAACGCCGCGUGAGUGAUGAAGGUCUUCGGAUCGUAAAACGCUGUUAUUAGGGAAGAACAAAUGUGUAAGUAACUAUGCACGUCUUGACGGUACCUAAGCAGAAAGCCACGGCUAACUACGU
rnacentral:rRNA from 1 species